UUUUAAAUAUGUAAAUACAGGUCACUGAACAGAAAAAUCCAAAACCGAGAGGUGUUCAGCAGCGCCGACUUUCGAAUUUCCGUCGCAUAACGUUUUCAAAUUAAAUUUAGGGUUUUUAGUUUUUUCCCCUCUCGAAAUCUUCUAUUAAAGAUUAAGAAGAGAUGGAGUCUGAAAACGGCGAUGCUGAUCAUUAUUUUCCCUAUGUAUAUAUUUCUGGUAUAAUUAUCGCCUUCCUAUUUUAGUGAAUGUUAUAUUGACUGCUUCUGAUUUCGCAGAGCAAACAACGAUACUUUGAUGGCGUUUAUAAUAAUGGAGCUGAGUUUCCUCAGAUUGAUAAAAUUACAAUUCAACCUGUCAUUUUACGGUCACAAUUGAAUGGCACCGUAAAGGACAGAAGUCAAGUGGAUAGGAAGUAAGAGUAAAUGCAAGUACCACUGAUUGAUCCAAGUAUGUACUGGUUUGCAAUUUCAAAUAUUGGUUCAAUGCUGAAAUGCCUUUCCCAGGGAAGGAGCUCUUUUUAAAAAUGCAGGAGAUGUUAGUCCCCUUGGAGAAGAAGCAUCUUUGGUUUCCACCUUUUGAUAGGAGGUUUCACCUUCAUGACUUGAUUGAAUCUGGGAUGGUUGCUCAGGUUUCAAAAGAUUAUAUACCACUAGCAGUGAGAAUUGGAUAGUGUUGCUUUUCUUUUGGUUCAGUUUUGAAUAUGAGGUGUAGCUACUAACUCAUUUAAUCAGCUUUUUAUGCUUUAUAUCUUCUGUUAAUAAAUUGAUAGAAACUUAUUAUCAAGUUGACGAUUGAACAAACAACCAUAUUCUUGCACUAAUGUGCGUAUGCAUGGAUGAAUGCAAGAUGAAGUGAGUAUCUUAUCUUUUAAA